rnacentral:lncRNA from 1 species
UUUACCUUCUUUCCAACACCUAAAAAUGAUGGAAUAAACAAAAAGUUAAGAUGAAUAGAGAUAGGUAGUCAUGGGAUGGCAAUGGGUACCCUAUGGGUAUUGGGUAGGGUACUGCAAUGCCCUUCCCCCAUACCCGCAUUUGUAAAAUAUACUCGUACCCAUGUCCGCACCUUUGUGGACAACAACUUUAAUACUCUUCCCCAUACCCUAUGGGUACCCAAGUGCCCGUACCCGCACCCAUUACCCGCACUUUAACUAUGAAAAGACAUUAAAAACAUCACAAUUGAAAUAAAACUAUGGUCCAAUUUUUUUUAAAUUAACUCAUAAAAUAGUAUGAAUUCGAUCGUAGUAUUUAGUCAAAUAAAAAACAUCCAAAAUAUCCCUAAAAAAUUUUACACAGGCAGGAUGGAGCCGUUAUUGUAGUAAGUAGUUUUUUGGUUUAGGUUUAGGUUUAGGCUUAAAUAGCUAAAUAAAUAAAUUAAUUAUACACCAAAAAUAAAUAAAUUAUUUACGAUAUUAUAUAAAUAUGUAUAUGCGUGGUUGCGGGGCUGAGCAGUAUAGUACCCUUACCCGUGCCCAUACCCAUUUAAAUUUGUGGGUAUUACCCGGACCCGUGCCCAAACCCAUGAAAGCGGGGUUUUACCCUACCUAUCAUGGGUAUUUUUUGCGGGCACCCAUCGGGUCUGGGUCUAAUUGCCAUCCCUCACGAUCUUAAUGCAUUCUCAAUGGGGCUUCUUCAAUGGAUAUGCAGAGAGUUGCUUACUGCAUUUGUUUAGUCUUGAUUGCCCAGUUCAUUUAUUUUUUGUUCUCUUUUAGCAGGACACCUUUUUGUUUGAUAUUGUACUGUGUCUCUUCUUGCUAAUAACUUUAUCUAUUUUCCUAAAACACUAGGUAAGAUCUUUCUGCUGCUACAGAAGCAGACUUUAAAAGUUGAUACAUGUGACAGGAUAUUCAUCCACAUGUUUAAUUAAAAUAACUUUUGAUCUGAUGAUGCUGCCAUUUGAAUCACUUAUAUAUAUAUAUGGGGAGGGAUAUUUUGACUCCAAGAGUAACUCAAAAGAGUUACUCCAAAUCCUGACCCUUCAUCCUAAUAUUAAUUAAUGGCUAUAAUUGAUUCUUAAUCAUCCCUAUAUCAUGAUCUUUCCAUACCUUCUUCCUAAUUCCGACGGCAAAACACUUGGAAAAUGGCUUUUGAUACAUACUGAUACAUGUGUUGCCUUGAAUUCAAUCCAAAAGAAUUAUUAGAGGUACGGUUUCACAAUUUUGUUAUGUUGUUUUACUGCUACAAAUCAUUGUGCACAAGGAAUCGGUUUCAUCAAAAUUCCAUGUAUAAUCGGAAGCCACUCAUCAAACUAGGACCUUUUAAUUUGCAAUCAACGGGUUUUGAAACACAAUAUUUUCAAUAAUUUGGUG